rnacentral:rRNA from 1 species
AGUGAACGCUGGCGGUAGGCCUAACACAUGCAAGUCGAACGGCAGCACAGUAAGAGCUUGCUCUUACGGGUGGCGAGUGGCGGACGGGUGAGGAAUACAUCGGAAUCUACUUUUUCGUGGGGGAUAACGUAGGGAAACUUACGCUAAUACCGCAUACGACCUACGGGUGAAAGCAGGGGAUCUUCGCACCUUGCGCGAUUGAAUGAGCCGAUGUCGGAUUAGCUAGUUGGCGGGGUAAAGGCCCACCAAGGCGACGAUCCGUAGCUGGUCUGAGAGGAUGAUCAGCCACACUGGAACUGAGACACGGUCCAGACUCCUACGAGAGGCAGCAGUGGGGAAUAUUGGACAAUGGGCGCAAGCCUGAUCCAGCCAUACCGCGUGGGUGAAGAAGGCCUUCGGGUUGUAAAGCCCUUUUGUUGGGAAAGAAAAGCAGCAGGUUAAUACCCCGCUGUUCUGACGGUACCCAAAGGAUAAGCACCGGCUAACUUCGUG